AUGCGCGCCUUGCCAGCCCCGGACCUGAGCGAGCGGCUCCUUUCCCGGGACCACGAGGCUCUUCGGAACCUGGACGCGGCGCGACCGGCGCGCAGGAGCGCAGUGGAGAGGCUGGCUGCCGAUCGCGCCAAGUACGUGCGGAGCCUUCCCGGAGUGGGCGGUGGCCCCGCUUCCGAGAGAGACGGGCCCGGGUCGGUCAAGGGGCAGGAGGGCGACCCUGGGCCCCCAUCCCGCGCCCCCGGUCCGGUGGCACGCAGGGCUAUUGCGCGGAAGCCGCUGAGGCCGGACUCGCUGGUCAUCUACCGACAGAAGUGUGAGUUCGUGCGAGGGCCGAGCGCCGACGGCUCCAGGGCGAGCCUGGUAAAGAAGCUCUUCCAGGGGCCGGACAAGGACAAGGCGUCGGCGAUCCCUGAGACGCCCCGAGUGGGAGAGGAAAGCAAGGCCAGGGACGGGGAUCCCGCCCGGACCCAGCCUGGCCCCGUAGCGGCUCCCGUGGCCCCAGCUACCCCCUCAGCCCCAGCCUCCGCAGUGCCCACCGGGGACCCGGCUGCGCUUGCUGGCCCUGAGCUGCGGGUGGCGAGGCGUGGGGGGCUGCAGCGCUCACAGUCAGACCUCAGCUCCCGCUACUCCAAGACCUUGGCCGAGUUUGACACUUUCUUCCAGUACUGCGGCCUGGACCCGGAGGUGGUGGAGGCUCUCGGGAGGGAGAACUUCUCCGCUGGGUCGGACCACGUCGCCCUCAAGUUGCGCAGCGUAAGCGUCGCCACUUCCGACAGCGGAUUCUCCAGACACAGCAGUGAAGACUAUGGGCUGCAGGAGGAGGAGCUAGUGGAGCAGGUGCCCAGCACCACCUCGGUCAUUGAGAGGAACGCCCGCAUCAUCAAGUGGCUGUACACGUGCAAGAAGGCCAAGGAGACCCCCAGGUAGGGGCUGCAGGGGCCGGCUUGACUGCCUGAGCCCAGGGAGACCAGGACCGAAGGAAGCAAAACUUCCCUCCAAUGAUGGGGAUGCCUGCAGUGUGACUUGGGACCCAGGGCCAUUUGUCCAGUGUGCCCGGGUGACCCUGUGAUUGCUGCCUUCCCAGGAAUAAAGCACUCCACUGACAAAGCUAAAGUGAUUUCAGAAGGUUUGAAAUGCUGUGGAGAAGGCGGUAGGAACACAGACCUUGAAAAUUAGCUGAAUUUUGACUGUCGUAAUAACCAAAGCACCGAGAGAUGUUCUCCUUGUUAGAGGUGGAUCUAUCCUUGCUUCCAGAGGGCAACUAGAAAGGAAAAAGCUGUUUGGAAGUAUUUCAGGGGCAUCUUUUUGACUGACUUGCUGGCAAAGAGGUACUGUGAUGUAUUUUAACAAUAUCUAAGUUGAUUCUUUUUCUAAAAAAUGCAAAGAGUAUGAAGAUCAAGCAUGAAUGUCAGGGCAUUUACUCCUUUCUACCAUCCUGGACUUAUUGGCACCAUUUAAAUCAAAGUUCUGCAAUUCACAAGAAGGUGUAUUCUGUUUAAAUACUAUGGCAAGCAGACUCACACAUACCAUACACAGACCCCAAUUUCCAAAGCAUUACUGUGCUGUAAACUACAGUUAAUUCCCAAACUAUAUGACUGAUUGUCUUUUUGAAAGAGUCAGAAAGCACUUUUAAGGUCCCUUGAGGGCUACAAGGUCAUUCUAUUUAUUCCACUAUGCAUUGGGUCUUAGGCUUGUGGAAGUACCCAUUAAAAGAUAAGUUCGAGCUGAGAUACUGCUAAAUAAAACCUUUCAUUGUACCUAGACAGUUUCUUGAGAAUUGGCAGAAGAAUCAUGGAGUUUUCCUUUCAUCAGACCAAUAGCAGCAUUCCAAUUUUGUAGCAUCAUUUGGAAUGAGCUCCACAGUGCUCUUGUUCUCAGCCUAUAGGAAGGAUAGGAAACCUUGCUUUAUACAUAACUUGGGCAUCUGAGGGCAGGGGCUCUUCCCAGCCCUUUGGUCUAACUCACACCUCUACAUAUCAUGUAACUAUCCCCAAAUUUGGCACCAGUUCACCCUUUUCUACAAAAGUUAUAUUUUAAAACAAGGGGCAGCCUCUGGGUGUCUGGGAGACUCUAUGAUCAGAAGGUGUGUAAGAAGUUAUUGUGACCUUAAGUCUGAACAUGCUCAUGACACCAAGAGUAAAUAGAUUUCAGAUUUACAACCUUCUGAGAGAAACUUAGUACUGAUGAUAACACAAAGAAAAUGUGUAACUCAGUUAACUCUUUCAAAGUUUACUAUGUUUCAUCAAAAUAUAUCUCUUUAAGGACAAAAUUACUAGAGUAGAAUAUGGAGGGGAGAGAAAUGUUUUUCCCAGUGGUAAAAUAUUUUAUAAAGCAUUCCAUUUUGAUAUAGUUAUGUAUUUGUUUAAUAUUGUAUUAAAUUUUUUCUUACUUUUACUGUGAAGAUUAGGUCUGUGUGUUACUUAAAUAUUUAUUUUUACACAGUUAACAGUCUUCAGAUAGUUUUUCUUUACUUCAUAUGGUUUUAGUUUUUAUCAAUAUAAUUUUAAAUCAUUUUCUCCUUGGUCAUCUUUUUGUAUAUAUUGUUUAAUUGAUCUUUUGUCUUUAGACUGCAAGUGUUCUUCACCACUCUAUAAAGUGCCCAGUACUGUAGUGAUUUGUUUUUGUUUUCAAAUAAGUCCCAGAUACACCUUUUUGGAGGCUUUGUCUAAAUGUAGACCCAGUAUCAAGACAGCAGGUUCUCUGCUGUAGAAAUUUUCCCCCAGUUAUUCCUACGAAUGUGCUGCUAUUUUGCUAUUCACUAUAUUGCACUUAGUUAAAAAAAAAAAAAAAAAAAGAUAGUGUCAAAGAGGAGAGCAAUUCUGGAGAAGAUAUCAGAGAUGAGGCAUGAGGAAUAGGGGAACAGGGUGGCACCAGGCUCCAGAGAAUUGAGCAGAUUCUGCUUCCUUUCCACACAUACUCAUGCUCAGCCUCAUGUCUUGAGUGUGUGCUUAGAGAUGAGAAGUCCUUUCCUAAACCUGAACUGCCCCAAUUUGCUGAGUGACUGAAGAAAAUCAAACUCUGUGGCUCAAUCCAGAUGGGAAGCUUAUAAGUGCUUUUCCCAAAGUCAAGCAGUAGUUACUGCUACAAAAUACUUUCAUCUGUUCAUGGAAGAAUAACAUAUAAAAUGAUGUGUUUAAACACAAAGGAAAAAAUGAUUGUUAAAGCAAGGUAAAUAACUUGACAGCAGUCUUUUUCAUUAAUAUGUGGGUAAAGAUUUGCAAUGCCUCAGACUGAAAGAUAUUCACGUGAGUAGAAAGUUUCCUCAUUAUAGGUAUGUAUACAUAUACGUAUAUAUAUGGUUUUUAAACUACUGGUCAUUGACACUAAAAUAAGAAGGAGGUUUCAUUGAACAUUAGCUUUUUUCAGUAGGUUCAAAGUUCAGUGCUGUGGUUAUAGUUGGUGAUGCCAUAAAACAUCAUGCCCGACAAUUGUUUUGGAAGUUUCUAAACAGUUUUCUUGCACACUACUUGUAACUGGAGUGCAACAUUACAUAUUCUGUAUUAAAGAAAUAAAGUAUUUUUAUCAUUUAUUAA